AAACAAAGAUAAAAAAUAUACAUGGACGACAUGAGCGUAAAUUGAUUUUACUUAACAACUUAAAUCAACCCGUCGGUCCUAGUGAAGCGGUUGUGAUUGAGUUUGGAAACUUUCUCGGUGCAUUGGGAAGGAGUGCGACUCUAUGUCCUCUUGAUAUUUUGGAUUGGAGGAAGAUGGACACAAAAGAGGAUAUAUGGGAAUAUACCAAGGUCUAAACUUCUUAAUUUUUAAUUUUUGUUUGAAAAUCUUUCAUAUUUUCUGCACUAACAGAUUUGAGACCAAUUGUAGGAUAAAAAUGAUAUUUCCGAAGCUGAAAAAAAUAGACUUUGGAAUCAGUUCAAGAUGCCCGGAGAAAGUACAAGAGUAAAUUGAAAAAAGAUCACUUUGGCGCCUAUGAAAAUGAUGAAACUCGAAUGCAACAUAUCCCUGAAGAUGUUCCAGCUUCUCAGUAUGUGACUUUUUACUUGUUCUUCUUCUUCUUGAACUUCUUAUUAAAGUUCUUCUUCCUCUUGAACUUCUUCUUCUUCUUCUUCUUCUUCUUCUUCUUCUUCUUCUUGGCCAUUGUUAUUGUCUUUCCCUUCUUUCUCUGCUUCACUGCUGCUGUUUUUUUUUUCCUUUUCGUGUUUCACUUUGUUGCUAUUGCAUAUACACUCUGCUUGCUACUGCUAUUUUUUAAAGACUAGCCAAAGGCCUUGCAAUCUGAAAUUUCCUAAAACUACUAAACAAAAUACAAUCAUACUUGGACAAGAUGUACAACACCAAAAGAUAUUAUUGCAGUUGCUCCAUACUCAUGAUUGAAGCAAGAAAACUACUAGUUUUGACCAAAUACCAGAGCGCAUAGGGUUUAACUUUAUUGUUGCUUCUAAUUUGUGAACUAUUGAUCCAGUGUAGCUAUAUUAUCUUAUUUAAUAGGCUUAAGGGUGCUUUACUGUUUUCCUUUUCUAAUUUCUUCCUAUUGUAUGUGAAUUUCCUACUUGUCUUAAAAGGAAAGUAGAUUAUCAUCUACUGUAAAGAAUAUCAGUUAUUUUUAACAUUAAUCUAAUCUUCUAAAUAUGCAUUGAAUACAUUGUGAGUUGAUCCACAGUAUUUUUGCCAGGGCUUAAUGCUUCUUAAGUGCUUCAUGUAGCCUUGUAUUUAUAGAAAUUUAUUACCACAUCUUCAUUUUUCUUUUCGAAGUUUUGUUGAGAAAACUCGUCCAGUUGUUGUUUGAUGUUUCUUUCUGUUACCAGAAAGUUAUUACCACAUCUUCAUUUUCCUUUUCGAAAUUUAGCUGAGAAAACUCGUUCAGUUGUUGUUUGAUGUUUCUUUCUAUCGUCCAGUUUAGUUGUGAUGCUGUUUUAUGAUGUAAUAGUGUUCGAAGAUGUUAAGGCAGAUUGUUGAUUAAAAAACAACAGACUAGAGAGUUCUUUGAUAUGGUUUGUCUGUUGCUGAUUCUGGUUUGUUGUAUGUUGUUAAAGAAGUUAAAUAUCAUUGUAACAAACUGGAGAGUUGAAAAUUAUUCUUGUGUAUAAGAUAAUAUUGUUUUGAGCAGGUUAAAAUAUAUGGGAUAGUCGUAUUUAUUGAGAAAAUUUUGCCGAAAAUUUUAAAAAUUUGCAGAGUUAGAAAAUUUUUGAGUUAUCAAAUUGGUCAUUCAAUUACUUUGUGAUUCAAUUAUCUUAAAAUUUUCUUUGUUUAAUUAUUUCUGAUUGAAUUUUGUAGGUGCAUCGAUUGGGGAUGACAGCAGUGAUGAAGACCUUACUUGAGUGUUAUUGAACGUUGAUAGACUUUCUAUCAUCAUGUUCAAGGAUAUUUUAGUUCAGAACUUUUUGUAUGCAAAUUAAAACUCAUCUAUCUAUUUUGACUUUUGAAUUGUUGAUCAAACAAUAUAUUCAUAUUUGGUUUUUGUAUAUGUAUAAUGUGAGUUGGUAAUUUUAAUCUUAUUUCGUGGUUUAUAUAAGUUAUAGUGUAUAAAAUUUUAUUGCAUAGAAAAAUAUUCAUCAUUUUGCUUCCAUAAAUAUUAGAAAUUACAAUAGCGAAUUGUUGUAAUAGACAAUAUAACCGUUCCAAUAGACCUAGCAAACAACAAUAGCAAUCCUCUAAUAACCGUUGGAAUAUGUUGCAAUAGGGUACAGAUAAUUGUUCCAAUAUAUAACAAAACCUUAAAAUAUAUCAUGAAAAUCGUCGCAAUAGACUUAAUAAAUCAUUAGUAUAAUUAUAACACAAUGGUUUAUAACGGUUCCAGCAAACAGAAAAUUGUCCCGUUAGAUUGAUCAAUGAUAACAGUUUCAUAACCGUUACAGUAGCUAUAUACGGAGACGGUUUUGAAUCCGUUGCAAUUAACCGUUCAAAUUGACCUAUUGUAAUGCUGGAUCUUGAAACGCGUCCCAAACCGUUCCAUUAACCCCAUAAGGAUGGUUAUAGUAGCUAUAGCUACAGUUUUGAAAGGGUUGCCAUAGGCUUAAUUUCUAGUAGUGUACAACAAGUAUUUUUACUUUUGGAGAUUGAGCCAAAUAAAUUAUAAUGAAUUAAACAUAAUCAAGUGUCAAAAUCAGUUUGUUAUACCAUUGUGGUCGAACGUGAAAAAGAUUACACAUUAUAUUGACAUAUGUAAAUCAACACAGAGACAUAUCAAAUAAAAAGGCAGUGAGGGGGUAGAAAAAGGUCAUUUACCAGACAUCACCAUAAGUGAAAUAGAAAGCAUAACUGCGAGCCAUGAUAACAAUAUUACUAAGACGGAGCUGAAAGAUAAGAGAAUUAUGUAUU
rnacentral:lncRNA from 1 species